CAUUGAAACACCAGUUCUCAUAUGAUCACUGAAGUUAAGCAAUGUCAAGCCUGGUCAGUAACUAGAUGAGUGACUACUUGGGAAUACUUGAUUCUG